GAUGAAGAACGCAGCGAAAUGCGAUACGUAAUGUGAAUUGCAGAUUUCAGUGAAUCAUCGAAUCUUUGAACGCACAUUGCGCCCGCCAGUAUUCUGGCGGGCAUGCCUGUUCGAGCGUCAUUUCAACCAUCAAGCGCCUCGCUUGUGUUGGGGCCCUGCGGCUGCCGCAGGCCCCUAAAUCCAGUGGCGGGCUCGUCGUCGUACCGAGUGCAGUAAACAUCCUCGCUCAGGGAACCCGGCGGGUGCCGGCCGUGAAACCCCCCCUCCUCAAGGUUGACCUCGGAUCAGGUAGGAAUACCCGCUGAACUUAAGCAUAUCAAUAAGCGGAGGA
rnacentral:misc_RNA from 1 species